CAGUCGCCACGGUAAUACGUAGGUGGCAAGCGUUGUCCGGAAUUAUUGGGUGUAAAGGGCUCGCAGGCGGUUUCUUAAGUCUGAUGUGAAAGCCCCCGGCUCAACCGGGGAGGGUCAUUGGAAACUGGGAAACUUGAGUGCAGAAGAGGAGAGUGGAAUUCCACGUGUAGCGGUGAAAUGCGUAGAGAUGUGGAGGAACACCAGUGGCGAAGGCGACUCUCUGGUCUGUAACUGACGCUGAGGAGCGAAAGCGUGGGGAGCGAACAGGAUUAGAUACCCCUGUAGUCCCUGUCUCUUAUAA
rnacentral:rRNA from 1 species